AUUGAACGCUGGCGGCAUGCUUUACACAUGCAAGUCGGACGGCAGCACAGAGAAGCUUGCUUCUUGGGUGGCGAGUGGCGAACGGGUGAGUAAUAUAUCGGAACGUACCGAGUAAUGGGGGAUAACUAAUCGAAAGAUUAGCUAAUACCGCAUAUUCUCUGAGGAGGAAAGCAGGGGACCUUCGGGCCUUGCGUUAUUCGAGCGGCCGAUAUCUGAUUAGCUAGUUGGUGGGGUAAAGGCCUACCAAGGCGACGAUCAGUAGCGGGUCUGAGAGGAUGAUCCGCCACACUGGGACUGAGACACGGCCCAGACUCCUACGGGAGGCAGCAGUGGGGAAUUUUGGACAAUGGGCGCAAGCCUGAUCUAGCCAUGCCGCGUGUCUGAAGAAGGCCUUCGGGUUGUAAAGGACUUUUGUCAGGGAAGAAAAGGCUGUUGCUAAUAUCGACAGCUGAUGACGGUACCUGAAGAAUAAGCACCGGCUAACUACGUG
rnacentral:rRNA from 1 species